rnacentral:rRNA from 1 species
GAUGAACGCUGGCGGCGUGCCUAAUACAUGCAAGUCGAGCGAACGGACGAGAAGCUUGCUUCUCUGAUGUUAGCGGCGGACGGGUGAGUAACACGUGGAUAACCUACCUAUAAGACUGGGAUAACUUCGGGAAACCGGAGCUAAUACCGGAUAAUAUUUUGAACCGCAUGGUUCAAAAGUGAAAGACGGUCUUGCUGUCACUUAUAGAUGGAUCCGCGCUGCAUUAGCUAGUUGGUAAGGUAACGGCUUACCAAGGCAACGAUGCAUAGCCGACCUGAGAGGGUGAUCGGCCACACUGGAACUGAGACACGGUCCAGACUCCUACGGGAGGCAGCAGUAGGGAAUCUUCCGCAAUGGGCGAAAGCCUGACGGAGCAACGCCGCGUGAGUGAUGAAGGUCUUCGGAUCGUAAAACUCUGUUAUUAGGGAAGAACAUAUGUGUAAGUAACUGUGCACAUCUUGACGGUACCUAAUCAGAAAGCCACGGCUAACUACGUGCCAGCAGCCGCGGUAAUACGUAGGUGGCAAGCGUUAUCCGGAAUUAUUGGGCGUAAAGCGCGCGUAGGCGGUUUUUUAAGUCUGAUGUGAAAGCCCACGGCUCAACCGUGGAGGGUCAUUGGAAACUGGAAAACUUGAGUGCAGAAGAGGAAAGUGGAAUUCCAUGUGUAGCGGUGAAAUGCGCAGAGAUAUGGAGGAACACCAGUGGCGAAGGCGACUUUCUGGUCUGUAACUGACGCUGAUGUGCGAAAGCGUGGGGAUCAAACAGGAUUAGAUACCCUGGUAGUCCACGCCGUAAACGAUGAGUGCUAAGUGUUAGGGGGUUUCCGCCCCUUAGUGCUGCAGCUAACGCAUUAAGCACUCCGCCUGGGGAGUACGACCGCAAGGUUGAAACUCAAAGGAAUUGACGGGGACCCGCACAAGCGGUGGAGCAUGUGGUUUAAUUCGAAGCAACGCGAAGAACCUUACCAAAUCUUGACAUCCUUUGACAACUCUAGAGAUAGAGCUUUCCCCUUCGGGGGACAAAGUGACAGGUGGUGCAUGGUUGUCGUCAGCUCGUGUCGUGAGAUGUUGGGUUAAGUCCCGCAACGAGCGCAACCCUUAAGCUUAGUUGCCAUCAUUAAGUUGGGCACUCUAAGUUGACUGCCGGUGACAAACCGGAGGAAGGUGGGGAUGACGUCAAAUCAUCAUGCCCCUUAUGAUUUGGGCUACACACGUGCUACAAUGGACAAUACAAAGGGCAGCGAAACCGCGAGGUCAAGCAAAUCCCAUAAAGUUGUUCUCAGUUCGGAUUGUAGUCUGCAACCCGACUACAUGAAGCUGGAAUCGCUAGUAAUCGUAGAUCAGCAUGCUACGGUGAAUACGUUCCCGGGUCU